GAUUUCUCGCUUGAAGGAGAAGGAGAAGGAGACGGAGAAAGAUGAGGAGCAUCGGCUGUAGAAGAAGGAGAAGUUGUUGUAUAUACGAAAACCCAGAUCCCCCCCUGCGAUUUGAAGCUGUAGGAGAAGGAGAAGGAAUAUCUUCAAUUGGCUUCAAGUUCUUGUGAUUCAAUGCCCAUACUCUGCAAUCCUGAUAUUUGCAGAUAAAUGUCUACUUCAAGUGUUGAUUGCAACAAGUCUGAUGCACUGAAGUACAAAUGCGUAAGGUGUAGCUGCAUUCGAAAAGCUGUCAUUCAGAUCUUUGAGACAAACAAUAUUCCGAAUAGACUCUUUUAUAACUGUCCAAACUUGAAUGGAUGUAAAUUCUUUGCUUGGUGUGAUCCCAUUAAUGCACCAGUCAUCGACUUACCGAACAGAGAAGUACCAGCAAACAUCCCCAUUUGUAAAUUGCUUGAGUUGCAAGCGGAGGUACAAGGCUUGGUAGAACAGGUCGGUGGCUUGCAAGUCAGGAUUCAUUAGGUGUAGGAGGAGUUGUGGGUCUUGCGAGAGGUCGUGCAAAGGUUGCAACAAGAGUUUGGAAUUGAGAAGUUUAGAUUUGAUGAGAUAGAGAAGUUGACAACAUCAAUCAAGCUCGUGUGUCGAUUUGUAGUUGUUUUCUUUAUGGGAGUACUCGUAACUAUUUGUAUGGAUAAAAUAGUGUGACAUUAUUGGAGUACUUGUAACCUAACUAUUUUGUAUGGGUAAAAUAGUGUCAUAGUAUUGGAGUACUUGCAACC